UCCAAUGAAGUGUUUUUUUUCUUUUUAUUUUCUUUCCUUCUUGAUUUAGUUUGAUAGUGUGGAAAAGGUUCUUACGCUUUAACUUUAAGGUAUGAUAAAUGGUUUAUCUUGAGAUUGUUACAUGCUUGUUAGAGUGCUUGGGUAAUAGUCGCAGGUUGAGAGAAGGGGCUGCUACGCUUCCGUUUAAAAAUUAGUUUUUGUUUAGUUGC
rnacentral:lncRNA from 1 species